UACGUAGGGUGCGAGCGUUAAUCGGAAUUACUGGGCGUAAAGCGUGCGCAGGCGGUGAUGUAAGACAGAUGUGAAAUCCCCGGGCUCAACCUGGGAACUGCAUCCGAGACUGACUUGCUAGAGUAUGGGGAGAGGGAAGCGGAAUUUCUGGUGUAGCAGUGAAAUGCGUAGAUAUCAGAAGGAACAUCAGUGGCGAAGGCGGCUUCCUGGACCAAUACUGACGAUCAGGUGCGAAAGCGUGGGGAGCAAACAGGAUUAGAAACCCCUGUAGU
rnacentral:rRNA from 1 species